AACUGACUGGCUCUUCGCUGGUUCCCGGUUCAACUGCGGCAUCCACCCGGCCUACUCCGGCAUGGCGGCGCUGCCCUACUUUGACGAGAUCGACCCCUCCGCCAUCGACGUCCUCCUCGUCACCCACUUCCACUUGGACCACGCCGCCUCACUGCCCUACUUCCUCGAGAAGAUGAUGUUCAAGGGCCGCGUGUUCAUGACCCAUGCCACCAAGGCCAUCUACAGGCUGCUGCUCUCGGAUUACGUCAAGGUCAGCAACGUGUAGGUGGAGGACAUGUUGUUUGACGAGCAGGACAUCAUCCGUUCCAUGGACAAGAUCGAGGUCAUAGACUUCCACCAGACACUUGAAGUUAAUGGCAUACGCUUCUGGUGCUAUACUGCUGGCCAUGUACUUGGUGCUGCCAUGUUCAUGGUGGAUAUUGCCGGUGUUCGCAUUCUUUACACCGGUGACUACUCCCGUGAAGAAGACCGGCACCUGAAAGCUGCUGAGAUCCCCCAGUUCUCCCCUGAUAUUUGCAUUAUUGAGUCAACUUAUGGCGUGCAGCAACACCAACCCCGCCAUGUCAGAGAAAAGCGCUUCACUGAUGCCAUCCACAACACUGUUUCUCAAGGGGGGCGUGUUCUUAUCCCGGCAUAUGCUCUUGGUAGAGCACAGGAAUUGUUGCUUAUCCUGGAUGAGUAUUAGUCUACACACCCAGAGCUCCAUAAGAUUCCAUAUUAGAAAAGGUAUGCCGAUCUGCAACGCCAGAAGCCCCGGUACGCCGAUCUGUGGUGGUUCCUCCUCUACUUCUUCCAUUUGUUGCUUCCCUAACCUGAUCUCAUCCUCGCUGUUCUAUCGAGGCGCCGUGGCACGGCCACACAUGGAGGGCCAGGGCGAAGACAAGGCCACGGUGGUGCAGCAUGUGGUCCACAUCGCCGGCAAGAAGAACCACCACGAGGUCGGGUCACGGUGGUGCAGCCUGUGGUCUUCAUCGUCUACCACUCCGCCGUCUUCGGCAACCCCCACCACUUCCGCGUCAAGGUGGUUGUUGAUGCCGGCACCGGGAGCGGCAUCCUCGUUGUCUGGAGCGCUCAGGCCAGCGCCAGGACGAUAGUGAGGGAAUUGGUGCUCCAAGUAUGGGUAUUAUGAUCCGUUGCUAUCUGUGAUGGGCGAAGGGAGAGUAAGGAGGGGGGGUGAGGGAUGGCAGAGGAGGUUAACAUAUAUAGAUGCAUCUAAUGCAUCAUCGACCUGUUACAACAUAAACAUCGUCUGGGUACGAGCCGCCGUAGGUCACAAGGGGGCGUGGAACUGUUGCAGACCAUUUGUGACAGAGCAUAAUCCAGCGACUUUGCCCAGGUCGGUACAUCCUCUACACGACUAUAUGGUAUCAACUUGAAGAAAAUUAUUCCUUUUUUUGCUUCCAAGACCUGAUAUCCUCCUCGAUGAUGUAUCGAGGUGCCGUGACCGGGCCUCAAAGGCAGGGCCUGGGCGAAGAGGUAUCCCCGACGGCCAAGACAAGGCCACAGUGGUGAAGACUGUGGUGAGACAGAGCUGACUCCAGCAAAUUUGACCAGCCAGUGCAAAUGUGUCCCUUGAUCAACUAAACUGGGUGAAUGUAAAAUCAUGGGGAGCCUUGAAGCCUUCUAAUGAACACAUAAAAGAUAAUCAGUGUUUAUUUGCAAGCAUGGAAUUGAAGGAAUCAGCGAGAGAGGCAGAUAAAGGAGAACUUGAAACUUAUAUAAUAUAUGCAAGGUUCAAUCGCGCGAAUAGCAUCUACUUGUUCAUCAACGGAUAUCAAGUUUGCGUUGUAUUCUUCAGCAUGUUUUACGCUCGUCUGAUCGGCAAUACAUUAUGCAAGAAGCGCAAUAUUAGCAGAAAAGCUAGUAUUCAUAGUACAGUGAACACUACCUGUAGCUAUGCCGUCUUCUUGUUCAUGUUCACCGGCUUUGCUUCUUGCAUUACCCAUUCGCAAAUGAAAUGACCGCUAGCUCUGGUGUUUUUGAGGCCUGGGAGAUGAUCAGAUGGUUAUAAUAGAUGCAACAUGAACGCAAGAGAGAUGGCGAACUUGAAGGCAUGAAUACAUUAUGAACUUGAAGAUUUUGAGUGCAACAGUUCGCAGAUUCACUCAUGCUUGUGCCUCCCGCCCGACUUGUUCUACUUACCGGACUUCUUCAGUGUUCAAAUAUAUUCCUUACUCCACCUUUCGUCUAAGCAUCAUGGUGCUCCAACUGCACCCAGGCUACGACAAAGUAUCCAAAGUGUGUAUGUGAUGGCUUUGUGUAUGUGCUGGCAGUGUGUAUGCGACGGCAGGCUACGACAAAGUAUCCAAAGUGUGUAUGUGAUGGCUGUGUGUAUGUGCUGGCAGUGUGUAUGCGAUGGCAGGCUACGACAAAGUAUCCAAUGUGUGUAUGCGAUGGCUGUGUGUAUGUGCUGGCAGUGUUUAUGUGAUGGCUGUGUAUAUGAAAUCAUGUAAAUUUCAGAUCUGCUAUGUACGUCCAUAUCAUUGUAUUUGUGUAUGGAUGUAAAAUCCAGAUAUGUAUGUAAAUUUCAUAUAUGUGAUACCUGGAGGGCAGAUCUUGUACGCCGUCGGCGCUGGCGCCACGUCCUGGACCUGUCUGUUAUGUAGGUUCAUACCAUUGUAUUUGUGUAUGGAUGUAAAUUUCAGAUCUAGAUGUAAAUUUCAGAUCUGGAUGUAAAUUUCAGAUGUGUGAUACCUGAGGGCGGAUCUUGUACGCCGUUGGCGCUGGCGCCAUGUCCUGGACCUGUCCAGCUUCAGGUCCAGAAGGGGAUCCGCGCCGGCGCGAUGGAUACCGGCGGUUUUGAUCCGCGCCGGAUCCUCGAAGCGCUCAACGGGGAGUUGUGCACAGGACAAGCGCCGGAGCA